rnacentral:rRNA from 1 species
AGAGUUUGAUCAUGGCUCAGGAUGAACGCUAGCGGCAGGCUUAAUACAUGCAAGUCGAGGGGCAGCAUGAGUGUAGCAAUACAUUUGAUGGCGACCGGCAAACGGGUGCGGAACACGUACAGAACCUUCCUUCGAGCGGGGAAUAGCCCAGAGAAAUUUGGAUUAAUACCCCAUAGUAUAUUGGAGUGGCAUCACUUUAAUAUUAAAGAUUUAUCACUUGAAGAUGGCUGUGCGCCUGAUUAGGUAGUUGGCGGGGUAACGGCCCACCAAGCCUUCGAUCAGUAACUGGUGUGAGAGCACGACCAGUCACACGGGCACUGAGACACGGGCCCGACUCCUACGGGAGGCAGCAGUAAGGAAUAUUGGUCAAUGGACGCAAGUCUGAACCAGCCAUGCCGCGUGGAGGAUGAAGGUCCUCUGGAUUGUAAACUUCUUUUAUAUGGGACGAAAAAGGGCUUUUCUAGGUCAACUGACGGUACCAUAUGAAUAAGCACCGGCUAACUCCGUGCCAGCAGCCGCGGUAAUACGGAGGGUGCAAGCGUUAUCCGGAUUCACUGGGUUUAAAGGGUGCGUAGGUGGGUUGCCAAGUCCGUGGUGAAAUCUCCGAGCUUAACUCGGAAACUGCCGUGGAUACUGGUAGCCUUGAAUACCGUGGAGGUCAGCGGAAUAUGUCAUGUAGCGGUGAAAUGCUUAGAUAUGACAUAGAACACCGAUUGCGAAGGCAGCUGGCUACACGAAUAUUGACACUGAGGCACGAAAGCGUGGGGAUCAAACAGGAUUAGAUACCCUUGUAGUCC